UGAAAGCAGUGAAGGAAAUAAGGUGAGCGCACUGAGCCCAGGAAUGAAAGGGACUUGUCUUUCUAAAAGAGCUGUGUCACCCCCAUUUGGAAACCAAAGGCUCCACAAUGCCCGCAUCCUUAGCUCAGCAUUCCAGGCCCUCCCAUCUGGCCCCCGCCAACCACUCCACUUGCUACUUCCCCACCUAUACUAGACAAACCAAUCCCUCUGACCCACUCCUCUUCUCUGAACUCCUCAGGCUGUUUUGUCUGUGUGGGCUGCUCUUUCCACGUCUCUCCAGUGUCAGUUCAAACUAUGUUGCCCGACCACCAGUCCUUGUCUAGGAUGCCUUCCUAACCCCUACUGGUUGACAGUGGGCUGUGGUUAGCCAGCUGAGGGCUCCUCCACUUCCUGAAGCACUGUGGUCAUCGCCUGUUUUACCAGACUGGGAGCACCUUAAGGAUAGGAACCAAAUAUGAUUUCUUUAUUUGCCUUCCAGGUCCCAACACAGAGUGAAGCACUUUGUAAGUGCUCCGUUUAUGCUAUGUGGUUAAUAACUUAUAACAAUGCCUCCAGAUCUAAUUUUUUUUUUCUUUUUUUUU
rnacentral:lncRNA from 10 species